GGGAGGAGUGGCAUUAGCAAUUCGAGACUGUCUUUUUUACCUCUUCAAUGCGUCUUGCAGCGAUAUGAAAUUAAAACCAGCUUUUGUCACCAUCACAAACUUCUGCAGCCUAAGCCACUGAGGCAAUCACAGGCAUCACUGAUGAGGAUGAUAGCUGAAGAAACUGCAACUGCAUAAAGAUCACAUCACUGAAUCUACCCAGA
rnacentral:lncRNA from 1 species